rnacentral:rRNA from 1 species
UACGGGGGGGGCAAGCGUUGUUCGGAAUUACUGGGCGUAAAGGGCUCGUAGGUGGCCAACUAAGUCAGACGUGAAAUCCCUCGGCUUAACCGGGGAACUGCGUCUGAUACUGGAUGGCUUGAGUUUGGGAGAGGGACGCGGAAUUCCAGGUGUAGCGGUGAAAUGCGUAGAUAUCUGGAGGAACACCGGUGGCGAAGGCGGCUUCCUGGACCGACACUGACGCUGAGGCGCGAAAGCUAGGGGAGCAAACGGG